rnacentral:rRNA from 1 species
UUAGCGACAGAAGAAGCACCGGCUAACUCCGUGCCAGCAGCCGCGGUAAUACGGAGGGUGCGAGCGUUAAUCGGAAUUACUGGGCGUAAAGCGCAUGCAGGUGGUUUGUUAAGUCAGAUGUGAAAGCCCGGGGCUCAACCUCGGAAUUGCAUUUGAAACUGGCAGACUAGAGUACUGUAGAGGGGGGUAGAAUUUCAGGUGUAGCGGUGAAAUGCGUAGAGAUCUGAAGGAAUACCGGUGGCGAAGGCGGCCCCCUGGACAGAUACUGACACUCAGAUGCGAAAGCGUGGGGAGCAAACAGGAUUAGAUACCCUGGUAGUCCACGCCGUAAACGAUGUCUACUUGGAGGUUGUGGCCUUGAGCCGUGGCUUUCGGAG